rnacentral:misc_RNA from 1 species
ACAGAGUUCAUGCCCGAAAGGGUAGACCUCCCACCCUUGUGUAUUAUUACUUUGUUGCUUUGGCGAGCUGCCUUCGGGCCUUGUAUGCUCGCCAGAGAAAACCAAAACUCUUUUUAUUAAUGUCGUCUGAGUACUAUAUAAUAGUUA